rnacentral:snoRNA from 1 species
UUAUAUGAUGAUUUUUUUUUACAAUUUUAUCACGACGGUCAACAUAGUCUAUACAUUGAUGACCACCGCCUUUGACAAGGCCUUGUAUCUGAUA